AUACGGAGGGUGCAAGCGUUAAUCGGAAUCACUGGGCGUAAAGCGCGCGUAGGCGGCCUUUUAAGUCGGACGUGAAAGCCCUCGGCUCAACCGGGGAACUGCGUUCGAAACUGGGAGGCUUGAGUCCCGGAGAGGGUGGCGGAAUUCCGGGUGUAGGAGUGAAAUCCGUAGAUAUCCGGAGGAACAUCGGUGGCGAAGGCGGCCACCUGGACAGGUACUGACGCUGAGGCGCGAAAGCGUGGGGAGC
rnacentral:rRNA from 1 species